rnacentral:rRNA from 1 species
AGUGAACGCUGGCGGCAGGCCUAAUACAUGCAAGUCGAACGGCAGCACAGCAGAGCUUGCUCUGUGGGUGGCGAGUGGCGGACGGGUGAGGAAUACAUGGGAAUCUGCCCAGUCGUGGGGGAUAACGUAUGGAAACGUACGCUAAUACCGCAUGCGCCCUACGGGGGAAAGCCGGGGACCGCAAGGCCUGGCGCGAUUGGAUGAGCCCAUGUUCGAUUAGCUAGUUGGCGGGGUAAAGGCCCACCAAGGCGACGAUCGAUAGCUGGUCUGAGAGGAUGAUCAGCCACACUGGAACUGAGACACGGUCCAGACUCCUACGGGAGGCAGCAGUAGGGAAUAUUGGACAAUGGGGGCAACCCUGAUCCAGCCAUGCCGCGUGAGUGAAGAAGGCCCUCGGGUUGUAAAGCUCUUUUGUCCGGAAAGAAAAGCAAUCGGUUAAUACCCGGUUGUUCUGACGGUACCGGAAGAAUAAGCACCGGCUAACUCGUGCC